ensembl:lncRNA
AUGUCUUUUGGAUUUUCCGUGAGAGUGCUGGUGCUCUCCCUUUUGGCAUUUGGGCACAAUACAAAUGCACUCUACAGAAGUGGAGGCCCCAGUGGUACUAGGCCUCUCUUUGCUCAUCCACGAAGCCACAACCCUGAUUUUGUGUCAACUUAUGAGCGUUCUGUGCAGCCUGGAGGGUUUCUGGGUAGUUCUGGAUCCAGUCACGGUGGAAGUGGGCAAGUAGAUGGUUACAGUCCAUAUGGAAGUGUUUCUAGUUACGUGCCUGAACCACAGAUCCUUAGGAAACAAAACUCUCAGCAGCCGCCUAAAACUAACCCCAAUGCAAAUGGUAGAUUCUCGACCAAAGGUGGCAACUGGGAUUUGGCCCCUCAAAAUGGAAAAAGUAUUAAGUCAGGUAUUGCUUCAAGUAGUGCAAUUAUUAUGCAAUCUGGUUCAGAGCCACACACUUUCAAUCCGGGCUACCUGCCAAAGCAGCCCAGGCCCCAGGAAGUGCCUACUUCCAAUACAGGCUACCCGCAGAAGCCGCCCAGGCCCCAGCAGCUGCCUAUUUUCAAUAUGGGCUACCUGCAGAAGCCGCCCCAGCAGCUGCCCACUUCCAAUACNNNNNNNNNNNNNNNNNNNNNNNNNNNNNNNNNNNNNNNNNNNNNNNNNNNNNNNNNNNNNNNNNNNNNNNNNNNNNNNNNNNNNNNNNNNNNNNNNNNNAGCAGCUGCCCACUUCCAAUACAGGCUACCUGCAGAAGCCGGCCCAGGAGCUGCCUACUUCCAAUAAAGGCUACCUGCAGAUACCACCCAGGCCCCAGGCGCUCUCCUCUUUUAACACAGGCUACCAGUCCAAGCCCCAGCAGUCCCACACUUUCAAUCCAGGCAAUGUGCAGAAGCCUCCCAGGAGCCAGCAGGCCCACGCUUUUAAUUCAGUCUACCAGCCCCAGAAAGCCGUGUUGCAAACCAAAGCUGGCAUGUGGGACUUGUUUUCAGAUCCUACCAAAUCAAAUGUUGAUUCAAGAAAUUCAAAACCAAUUUCAAUCGAAUCUCCGUGCCAUUCCAGAAGGCAGCGUCCACUGGUGCCGAUGUAAAACAUUUCCCUCACAGUAAGUUUGAGCUUUAAAUGUCAACCCAAGGUAAUGCUUUUUUGGGGUAAAGAAUUGUAUUGCAUACUAACUAAAGAAUAUUUCUGUUCACAGGUUCCUGGCAUUACGUUUUUUGGGGGGAAAAAACAAUAAAUUACUUUGAACUGAAUUGUCUGCAAUGGUCAUUUGAAACCAGAAAAUGUAUGGUUGCAACUAUACCCACUGAUUUCUCUGGUAUAAUACCAUAACUGUAGUUUAUAAAAUUGCUUCAUACAAAUUAAAUUCCUGAAGUGAAUGAGAUUGAGCUUAAAUCUGACCUAGUUUCUUACUGAAGAAUCUUGGCCACUUUGAUGGUUUUAAAAUCUGUAAGCCCAGUAGUUACUGGCGGACAAUACAAACUGAACCCUUGUUCUCUUUAGCUCAGUAGCUAGGCUGAGUCACAGCUCUAUUGAAUGUACUUCUAAAACUGUAGGGCGCAACCCUCUAACUGGUAUACAGCCCAUUUUUAAUGCUUUGUAGCAGCAAGCAGGCUUAUGGCAGCCAGUAAUUCAGAUAAAAUAUCCUUCCAUUGAGGGCCUAUAUCUCCACUAUUGUUUAGCACAAGUUGCACAUUGUGUUUAAAAGAUGCAGGGUAAAACGCUGCCAAAAUGGUUAUCACAUUUUGCUGUUUAUCUUGUCAGUGCAAAUGGGUUAAUUAAAGCAAAUGUUUCUUCUGAACUAAAGCAAUAACGCUAUGUUGAGGAAAUGAGCAACUGUUCUGUUCUUCGUACAGCGUUUCUCUAACAUGUUGACUUUACAAAAAUGUUCCUUCUAAAAAUCCCCAAUGAUUCACAAUUGAGCAAACUGAUCACAACCCAACCUUUCUACCAUGAGAGUUCAAUGAAACACAGAUUUUCAGCUGGGUGUUAAAGGAAUGUUUGGAAAUGCUCAUGUUUUGGCAGUACUGUUAGUCCAGCAAUAAGAUCUCACGUCUGAAACAUUCUUUUUUAACGUAACAGCGCUCACUAUGUUCAAAAAGAAACUUAAUUUUCUCCAUAUCCACAAUAACUUGUGUUCCGUUACAUCAGAUAAUUUUUACUCAUAUUGGGGAAAACUUUUGUAAUUCCCUGCCCAGGGAAAAUACAUCGAGACUAAGGUGCGAAUUGAAAUGGAGAUUACUGUGUCGCUGUUAAAUUAAUAGACUAACAAAAGGUUUGCAGUUUUUAUCACGUUACCCAAUCGAGAGCCUACAUUCAUGAAUGUCUUUUAGAGAGGUACUUAUUAAAACUCAUAUUUUCAUUCUGUAUGCUGUGAUUGUAUUGUUAGAAACUGGGGUGUUUCCGAUAUUUAGUUUAUUCUUAUCGAUAUAAAGGGUCCGUAUUUACUUUUUUAACCGCAUUGCUAAUGUGCAAAUCUCAAUUGUAGCUAACAGGCCCUUUCUUUCUAUGCAUAGGCUUCAUGGUGCAGAAACUUCCUAUGUCCCCUUGAAGGUGGACUGAAAAUGGCGUCCUCAAGGGGGUUGUUUAAUGCUGCUGCUGUUUUGCAUGACGUGAUGGUUAUUUAGUAACUCAGUGUCAAAUAAACUGUAGAUCAAAGCAUGCUUACGGCUAGGCUUACUAUGAUAGAUAGGUCUCUGCAGCUGCCAGAACCAUAUACAUGGGGCCUCUACGUUCCUUUGUCCCAUUCCAAAUAUCGUUACGUUAGUUCGCCAAAGAUCGCAACGACAAAAUUGCAGAACACAAACAGUCCUCACACCAAUGGGUGACGUUACGAUACCUCUAAUACGUACCCUUCUUAAAUACCCUCCAUCACUCUGAUAGAGCCUUCAGACCAGGGCUGAGCUGAAUACAUAUCCGUCGAAAAAUGUUCAAAGAAUUUAGUCAACAUAUUAUACUGCAACGAGGACGCCUCCAACUGUAAAGCUAUGGGACGAGCUGCACUCUAUUGGAGGAGGUGACAGUUAGAUUUGUGUGAAUAGUAAGCCACACAAGGGUUUGGGUUCAUGCCCUAUCAGAACGUUUUUUAGUGAAUUCCGUCUCUGAAGAACAGUAGCACAAAGACGCUUUGUGAAGAGGAUACCACCACAUCAGCAGAGCAGCAACGUGUUGCAAAGAAUAUUUUCUUGAAAUAUCAUGACCCUUAUUUCACCCUAAACUCAACCCAAAACCCCAAAAGCCUCUUAAUUCCCAAAAUAGUAACAAUGUAUUCGUUAGACUAGGAGCACGUAUGAUUUAUGGGGUUUUCUGAAGAGAAGGAAGUUGUGAAUCCAAGCAGAAAUCCUCCUUAUAGAACUGUGGGAUUUAAAAGUCAAGGGAUUUAAAAAUUCAACAUGCUAGGGCAAAUUUUAUAUUUUGUAUUGUCAUCUGGCACCUGAAUUUGUGUUUUCUUUUCCACAAACAAAUAUAUUUAUACACAAGUUGGUGCAGAAAAAACUCUAGGGUUACCCUAGGGUUAACGAAAUAAAGUCCUUGACUCGCCAUCUUUUAUAUGGAGUAAAUGUUCGUAGGCUUUUCCUGCCAGAGGCUGAUGUGGGAUACCCUCCGGUCUGGGACGUCAGGCGCAUCUGCUGACGAGGCUGUUGAAUUGAUCAGGGACCAAUUUGCUGCCUGAUCUUCCAUUGAGGCAGGUGACCUUCCAACCGGCGCACUUCCAGAGUGGGCGUGAGAAUCCGGUGCAGUCUAAAGAUGAAUUGCAGUCAUCAUCCUACCAAGGUUGCGUUGGAUGACCUCCCAACGACGUAGUAAUCAUGGAGGAUUGGUUCUGAUUAGCUGGCCCAUACAAAAAGUUUUAAACUGAUGAAUACACCUUUUAUUUAUUUGUCUGAAUUACACCGCACCACAUUUUUCUCUUGCUGUAAACUCGCAGCAGGCCUUUUAUCUUUUACUGAAAAAAAGGAGACAACUUUCCCUGACUCAUUGUUCAAGCCUUUCAGUGCAUGUAUGGAAGUAAAUAUGGGGCUUCGUUGAGUGUUUUAACUUUAACUUCAUGCCAUCAGUGUGGUUUGUGUCUGUAAGAUUCAGUAAUAGACAGCUGAUGCUGGGAUGCUUCAACGAGCUAUUAGGAGUGAUUGGCGGAGUUUUGAAAGUUUUGAAAGUUUUUGAAGUUAAAGUUAAAACACUCAACGAAGCUCCAUUAUUAAUGGACAUGGCUGAAAUUCGGUCAUCAUAGUCGACAAGCCGAAGUUGUAUUGGGGCGCUCGCUCCUUUUGCUUGACGUACGCUCCCGAUCUUGAAUCUAGAAUCGAUUGCUCUUCCUUGGGUUCCCGGAUGUUGCGGUUCGAAUUUUUUUGCAUUGAAUGUUUGCAUUGAUUUUUUUUGCAUUGAAUUUUUGCAUUGAAUUUUUUUGUAUUGAAUUUUUGCAUUGAAUUUUUUGCGGUUGAAUUAUUUGCGGUUGAAUUUUUUGCAGUUGAAUAUUUUAACGUUGAAAAACAUUCAGAUACAUGAUUUCAAUGCAUAAAUAUUCAGUGCUAGAAAUUUAGUCACCUUUUUCUUUCAAAAUCCGAUGACACAGAUGUAUGUGCAUAUUUUUGAACAUGUUACAUUGUUGUGGGAGCAGCACAUGUCACCUGUUUGGAAUCUUUGCACUAAGAUCAACAGUGGGAAUCUCCUUUACACACAUGGAGAGAUACGUACUCUGGGUUGUGACUGUAUUCAUGCCUACAUUUAUGUCUAUGCAUGAGUAUCUUUGUGACCAAUAUUAUUUUUAAGUAGAGCAUAUAAUAAGAGAUGAAACCUUUUAAAACAGUUAGAUGGCCGACAUGAUGGCCAAGCAGAAGGAGCACACGUUUCUGCAAUAUUUAUUAAUAUUGAUGCAUACAGACAUAUUUGCACACGGUUAGAAAUGUGCUCAUAAAGCGACAGUUGUGAAAAUUAAACCGCAGACCAAAGCGUUGUGGAAAACCAGAGUCUGAUCAAUGUGAGGCCCCCUUCAAUAAUUACCUCUGUGACAUGCAGAGGUGUAUGCACAUUUCCAUUCCAAUACGACCUUUUUCAGUUUUCGGGCAUUAGAAACAGGAAACUGUAUGUCUGACAAGAGGAAAAUGGCACAGCUAUUUUUGGCCACAUUCCUCUGUCAAUUUCCUGUUGCUGAGUGCAUCCUUGAUUGAGUGAUGAAGCCGGUAAUUGCAGGUCAGAGUGUGUUACGGUGAAAGAGGUCCUUGUGGUGGAUCCGGUUGUGGCAGAGUUAAAAAAAGAGGAGGAGAAAACAUCUUUUAACUCUCAGUGAUCUUCUAAAGUCUGUGCAGUGCUCAUGAUGAAAAGGAAUGAGGCAUGAACACAAAAGUUUCAGGAAAUAGCUUUGGUAGUCCGACACAAUUAGGACGAUCCACUGUGGUGGCGAUUGCAGUCUUUGUGUAAUCUUUACCCACUGCACUUUCUCUCACAUUUCUUUCACAUUUUCUUACACAUCUCCUCGAUGCGGUUAACACAUGUUAACAAGAGCAAGCAUCUGUCCCAGUGAGCUUAAACCGCUGAGAUGCUUAUACAUCAUUACUGCUCUUUAAAACUCUGUUUGCUAUUGUAUUUUAAAUAUUAGUGAGCUAGUGGCAACCCAUCAUUUUACACCUCUGAUUGGAUAUAAAUGAAUGGAAGCCGUCGCCUGGCUGAGCAUGCAAGUCUUUCCUGACUUUCAAACAGUUUAAUUAACAAACCGAUGACGACUCUAUACUUUUGAUGUAGAAAUUAUACUGAUUCAUGACAUUUUGCUGUGUAAGGACACUUUGAGGAUGGAGAUAUUCAGUACAAGUGCUAGGCAUUUAAUAAAGUGUGAUUUAAGUGAUUGAUAUUGAUUU